rnacentral:rRNA from 1 species
UGCUAGUUGUGCGGGUUUAGACCCGCAGCGCGAGAGCUCAGUAACACGUGGCCAAACUACCCUGUGGAUGGGAACAAUCUCGGGAAACUGAGGCUAAUUCCCAAUAACGCUCCACCCCUGGAACGGGCGGAGCUGGAAACGCUACGGCGCCACAGGAUGUGGCUGCGGAUCGAUUAGGUAGACGGUGGGGUAACGGCCCACCGUGCCAAUAAUCGGUACGGGUUGUGAGAGCAAGAGCCCGGAGACGGAAUCUGAGACAAGAUUCCGGGCCCUACGGGGCGCAGCAGGCGCGAAACCUUUACACUGUACGCAAGUGCGAUAAGGGGACUCCGAGUGUGAAGGCAUAGAGCCUUCACUUUUGUACACCGUAAGGUGGUGUACGAAUAAGGGCUGGGCAAGACCGGUGCCAGCCGCCGCGGUAAUACCGGCAGCCCGAGUGAUGGCCGAUAUUAUUGGGCCUAAAGCGACCGUAGCUGGUCGGACAAGUCCGUUGGGAAAUCUGUUCGCUUAACGAGCAGGCGUCCAGCGGAAACUGUUCUGCUUGAGACCGGAAGACCUGAGGGGUACGUCCGGGGUAGGAGUGAAAUCCUGUAAUCCUGGACGGACCACCGGUGGCGAACGCGCCUCACGAGUACGGAUCCUACUGUGAGCGACGACUGCUAGGGUCUCUAACCGGAUUAGAUACCCGGGUAGUCCUAGCUGUA